rnacentral:tRNA from 1 species
GCUGGAGUGGCGGAAUUGGCAGACGCGCCAGGUUGAGGGCCUGGUUCCCGUCAAGGGAGUGCAGGUUCAAGUCCUGUCUCCAGCACCU